rnacentral:rRNA from 1 species
AUUGAACGCUGGCGGCAGGCCUAACACAUGCAAGUCGAACGAGUGGCGGACGGGUGAGUAAUGCUUGGGAAACUGCCUUAUGGAGGGGGAUAACUACGGGAAACUGUAGCUAAUACCGCAUACCAUCAGAUGCGCCCAAAUGGGAUUAGCUAGUUGGUGGGGUAACGGCUCACCAAGGCCACGAUCUCUAGCUGGUCUGAGAGGAUGACCAGGCACACUGGGACUGAGACACGGUCCAGACUCCUAAGGGAGGCAGUAGUGGGGAAUAUUGCACAAUGGGCGCAAGCCGGAUGCAGCCAUGCCGCGUGAAUGAAGAAGGCCUUCGGGUUGUAAAGUACUGUCAGUGGGGAGGCGUUACCUGCAGAAGAAGCACCGGCUAACUCCGUGCCAGCAGCCGCGGUAAUUC